rnacentral:rRNA from 1 species
AUUGAACGCUGGCGGCAGGCUUAACACAUGCAAGUCGAACGAGUGGCGGACGGGUGUGUAAUGCUUGGGAAUCUUGCUUAUGGAGGCGGAUAACUCCGGGAAACUGUAGCUAAUACCGCGUACCAUAGGAUGAGCCCCAGUGGGAUUAGGUAGUUGGUGGGGUAAAGGCUCACCAAGCGGACGAUCUCCAGCUGGUCUGAGAGGAUGACCAGCCACACUGGGACUGGGACACGGCCCAGACUCCUACGGGAGGCAGCAGUGGGGAAUAUUGCGCAAUGGGGGCAACCUGACGCAGCCAUGCCGCGUGAAUGAAGAAGGCCUUCGGGUUGUAAAGUUCUUUCGGUGGCGAGGCGUUAACUGCAGAAGAAGCACCGGCUAACUCCGUGCCAGCCGCCGCGGUAAUUC